AUACAUAGGUUAACGAGGCGAACCGGGGGAACUGAAACAUCUAAGUACCCCGAGGAAAAGAAAUCAACCGAGAUUCCCCCAGUAGCGGCGAGCGAACGGGGAGCAGCCCGGAGUCUGAAUCAGCUUGUGUGUUAGUGGAACGGUCUGGAAAGUCCGACGGUACAGGGUGAUAGUCCCGUACACGAAAGCACACAUGCUGUGAACUCGAAGAGUAGGGCGGGACACGUGGUAUCCUGUCUGAAUAUGGGGGGACCAUCCUCCAAGGCUAAAUACUCCUGACUGACCGAUAGUGAACCAGUACCGUGAGGGAAAGGCGAAAAGAACCCCGGCGAGGGGAGUGAAAAAGAACCUGAAACCGUGUACGUACAAGCAGUGGGAGCCUCUUUAUGGGGUGACUGCGUACCUUUUGUAUAAUGGGUCAGCGACUUAUAUUCUGUAGCAAGGUUAACCGUAUAGGGGAGCCGAAGGGAAACCGAGUCUUAACUGGGCGUUAAGUUGCAGGGUAUAGACCCGAAACCCGGUGAUCUAGCCAUGGGCAGGUUGAAGGUUGGGUAACACUAACUGGAGGACCGAACCGACUAAUGUUGAAAAAUUAGCGGAUGACCUGUGGCUGGGGGUGAAAGGCCAAUCAAACCGGGAGAUAGCUGGUUCUCCCCGAAAGCUAUUUAGGUAGCGCCUCGUGAACUCAUCUUCGGGGGUAGAGCACUGUUUCGGCUAGGGGGCCAUCCCGGCUUACCAACCCGAUGCAAACUACGAAUACCGAAGAAUGUUAUCACGGGAGACACACGGCGGGUGCUAACGUCCGUCGUGAAGAGGGAAACAACCCAGACCGCCAGCUAAGGUCCCAAAGUCAUGGUUAAGUGGGAAACGAUGUGGGAAGGCACAGACAGCCAGGAUGUUGGCUUAGAAGCAGCCAUCAUUUAAAGAAAGCGUAAUAGCUCACUGGUCGAGUCGGCCUGCGCGGAAGAUGUAACGGGGCUAAACCAUGCACCGAAGCUGCGGCAGCGACACUAUGUGUUGUUGGGUAGGGGAGCGUUCUGUAAGCCGUUGAAGGUGUGCUGUGAGGCAUGCUGGAGGUAUCAGAAGUGCGAAUGCUGACAUAAGUAACGAUAAAGCGGGUGAAAAGCCCGCUCGCCGGAAGACCAAGGGUUCCUGUCCAACGUUAAUCGGGGCAGGGUGAGUCGACCCCUAAGGCGAGGCCGAAAGGCGUAGUCGAUGGGAAACAGGUUAAUAUUCCUGUACUUGGUGUUACUGCGAAGGGGGGACGGAGAAGGCUAUGUCAGCCGGGCGACGGUUGUCCCGGUUUAAGCAUGUAGGCGGAGGUUCCAGGUAAAUCCGGUACCUUUUAACGCUGAGGUGUGAUGACGAGGCACUACGGUGCUGAAGUGAUAAAUGCCCUGCUUCCAGGAAAAGCCUCUAAGCAUCAGGUAACAUCAAAUCGUACCCCAAACCGACACAGGUGGUCAGGUAGAGAAUACCAAGGCGCUUGAGAGAACUCGGGUGAAGGAACUAGGCAAAAUGGUGCCGUAACUUCGGGAGAAGGCACGCUGAUGUGUAGGUGAAGCCCCUGCGGGCGGAGCUGAAAUCAGUCGAAGAUACCAGCUGGCUGCAACUGUUUAUUAAAAACACAGCACUGUGCAAACACGAAAGUGGACGUAUACGGUGUGACGCCUGCCCGGUGCCGGAAGGUUAAUUGAUGGGGUUAGCGGCAACGCGAAGCUCUUGAUCGAAGCCCCGGUAAACGGCGGCCGUAACUAUAACGGUCCUAAGGUAGCGAAAUUCCUUGUCGGGUAAGUUCCGACCUGCACGAAUGGCGUAAUGAUGGCCAGGCUGUCUCCACCCGAGACUCAGUGAAAUUGAACUCGCUGUGAAGAUGCAGUGUACCCGCGGCAAGACGGAAAGACCCCGUGAACCUUUACUAUAGCUUGACACUGAACACUGGUCCUUGAUGUGUAGGAUAGGUGGGAGGCUUUGAAGCGUGGACGCCAGUCUGCGUGGAGCCGACCUUGAAAUACCACCCUUUAAUGGCUGGUGUUCUAACGUAGACCCGUAAUCCGGGUUGCGGACAGUGUCUGGUGGGUAGUUUGACUGGGGCGGUCUCCUCCCAAAGAGUAACGGAGGAGCACGAAGGUUGGCUAAUCCUGGUCGGACAUCAGGAGGUUAGUGCAAUGGCAUAAGCCAGCUUGACUGCGAGCGUGACGGCGCGAGCAGGUGCGAAAGCAGGUCAUAGUGAUCCGGUGGUUCUGAAUGGAAGGGCCAUCGCUCAACGGAUAAAAGGUACUCCGGGGAUAACAGGCUGAUACCGCCCAAGAGUUCAUAUCGACGGCGGUGUUUGGCACCUCGAUGUCGGCUCAUCACAUCCUGGGGCUGAAGUAGGUCCCAAGGGUAUGGCUGUUCGCCAUUUAAAGUGGUACGCGAGCUGGGUUUAGAACGUCGUGAGACAGUUCGGUCCCUAUCUGCCGUGGGCGCUGGAGAAUUGAGGGGGGCUGCUCCUAGUACGAGAGGACCGGAGUGGACGCAUCACUGGUGUUCGGGUUGUCAUGCCAAUGGCACUGCCCGGUAGCUAAAUGCGGAAGAGAUAAGUGCUGAAAGCAUCUAAGCACGAAACUUGCCCCGAGAUGAGUUCUCCCUGAGACUU
rnacentral:rRNA from 2 species